rnacentral:rRNA from 1 species
GAGUUUGAUCUUGGCUCAGAUUGAACGCUGGCGGCAGGCCUAACACAUGCAAGUCGAGCGGAUGACGGGAGCUUGCUCCUUGAUUCAGCGGCGGACGGGUGAGUAAUGCCUGGGAAUCUGCCUGGUAGUGGGGGACAACAUUUCGAAAGGAACGCUAAUACCGCAUACGUCCUACGGGAGAAAGCAGGGGACCUUCGGGCCUUGCGCUAUCAGAUGAGCCUAGGUCGGAUUAGCUAGUUGGUGGGGUAAUGGCUCACCAAGGCGACGAUCCGUAACUGGUCUGAGAGGAUGAUCAGUCACACUGGAACUGAGACACGGUCCAGACUCCUACGGGAGGCAGCAGUGGGGAAUAUUGGACAAUGGGCGAAAGCCUGAUCCAGCCAUGCCGCGUGUGUGAAGAAGGUCUUCGGAUUGUAAAGCACUUUAAGUUGGGAGGAAGGGCAGUAAGUUAAUACCUUGCUGUUUUGACGUUACCGACAGAAUAAGCACCGGCUAACUCUGUGCCAGCA